UUUAAAGAAGCCCUUACAGGAACUCUGUCAGUUGUUCAAGGCUUGCUGCCAACAAACAAUUGAGAUGUGGAUCACUUCCUAGGGAGGGAGCCUGUGGGAACAUGGGUAAUGAACUAUUUCUGACAUAAAUCACAAGUGCCAAAGAAAGUGCUGAUACCCAAAGAAUAAACAAGAGUGACCACCAUUCAAUUGCAGAGAUGAUAUCUCUCCCACAAGGUGGCACUUUAAAUUGUGUAAUAUUUCAGUCUUUUGGUCAUUUUAGCAAUGAAGAAAGAUCCAAAGUUUACCCCAAGCAUGCUUAUUUUCUGUCCCUAAUUCAUGGGUUCAUUUGAUUAAAUGAAGGGAAGCUGUCAGGACCAGGAAAAUACUUUGCUCUCUGGGAGUUUCUUUUAAAAACCCCAAUA